UAGCAAAAGAUGAGCUUUACUCGGAUUCCCCUUCAGGACAUCUAAUGGAUGAUGCAAAAUCGAGUCUCUGAUGUG
rnacentral:snoRNA from 2 species